GCAUGAGCAGACAGUCCGGGCAUGAACAAACCGAAAAAUCUAAACAGAAUGCUCAGAUUCGAUUCCUUGUACUCAGAACCAUACCUCUUCGUCAUUGAAAAACUUCGCAGGAACUCCCAGAAUGCGUUCAGAUGAGCACACAGUAAGUAUCUUAUCGUCAGGUAGUUCCGGUUCGGCACCUCCUCCGUCUCCAUUUCCUGAUAUUUUCUGUUGAAAUAGAUACAUGUCCCAAAGUGUUUGAAGAAGAAGAUCUCAUCGUCGUAAGGGAGUCGCGGCACAGCGUCGUUGCAGUAGACAACUCUCCGGUAUCUAUUACGGACAUGUACUUUCAUAAAGUUUCCGACUUCCUCGUCGCCGAUCCUUGGCUG
rnacentral:lncRNA from 1 species